rnacentral:rRNA from 1 species
UAGGGAAUCUUCCGCAAUGGGCGAAAGCCUGACGGAGCAACGCCGCGUGAGUGAUGAAGGUCUUCGGAUCGUAAAACUCUGUUAUUAGGGAAGAACAAAUGUGUAAGUAACUAUGCACGUCUUGACGGUACCUAAUCAGAAAGCCACGGCUAACUACGUGCCAGCAGCCGCGGUAAUACGUAGGUGGCAAGCGUUAUCCGGAAUUAUUGGGCGUAAAGCGCGCGUAGGCGGUUUUUGAAGUCUGAUGUGAAAGCCCACGGCUCAACCGUGGAGGGUCAUUGGAAACUGGAAAACUUGAGUGCCGAAGAAGCAAGUGGAAUUCAAUGUGUAGCGGUGAAAUGGGCAGAGAUAUGGAGGAACACCAGUGGCGAAGGCGACUUUCUGGUCUGUAACUGACGCUGAUGUGCGAAAGCGUGGGGAUCAAACAGG